GUUAGUGUAUGCAGUGUAUGUGUGUGUUAUUGUAUGCAGUGUGUGUUGUUAGUGUAUGCAGUGUAUGUGUGUGUUGUAUGCAGUGUGUGUGUGUUAGUGUAUGCAGUGUGUGUGUGUGUUAUUGUAUGCAGUGUGUGUGUUAGUGUAUGCAGUGUAUGUAUGCAGUGUGUGUUGUUAGUGUAUGCAGUGUAUGUGUGUGUUAGUGUAUGCAGUGUAUGUGUGUGUUAGUGUAUGCAGUGUGUGUGUGUUAGUGUAUGCAGUGUAUGUGUGUGUUAUUGUAUGCAGUGUAUGUGUGUGUUAGUGUAUGCAGUGUAUGUGUGUGUUAGUGUAUGCAGUGUGUGUGUGUUAUGUAUGCAGUGUGUGUGUGUGU